rnacentral:piRNA from 1 species
UNGGUGGCCUUAUCCUCUGAAUGAGAUGGCC